rnacentral:rRNA from 1 species
CAUAUUUAUUAGAUAAUCUAGCCCGAAAAAUAAAGAUCUACGCUAUUUUAAUUUUUAGAAACAAAUGUAUAAUGUAGCAUCAUUAUAAGUAAAAAAUUGCGUAGGGGUGAAACACUUUCAAUUUAUUUGAUAUCUGGAUUAAACUGAAAUGAAUUUAGUUCAUUAAAUAAUCACAAAGUUAUAAGAUUUUGUGAAGUAAGAAUAAAAAUUCAAUGAGGCUUUCAAAGAAAUAAAUUUUCAGAUUGACUAGAGAUAAAAAUAUUUAUAUUUAUGUUAAUCUGUGUUAUUAAGUUUAUGUCUAUAAAAAUUUUAGGAUGGAUUAAUAAUGCUUAAAUCAGUAAACUAAUCAAAUUAACUAAAGGAACUCGGCAAAUAUAAUCUUCAACUAGUUUAUCAAAAACAUAGCUUUUAGAAAAUAUAUUUAAAGUUUAAUCUGCCCAGUGAUAAUUUAACGGCCGCAGUACAUUGACUGUGCUAAGGUAGCAUAAUAAGUUGACUUUUAAAUGGAGUCGGGUAUGAAUGGAUAGCUGGGGAUUUCCUGUCUCAAGUUAUUUAUGUUUAAAUUACUAAAAAGGUGAAAAUUCCUUUAUUGUUCAUGUUAGACGAGAAGACCCUGAGAAUUAUAACUAAAAAUUUGUCUAUUUAAGUUUUUGUUGGGGCAACAAAUUAGGUUAACCGAUUUAUUAACAUAAUUUCAUGUAAUGACUUUAUAGAAUGAAAUAAAUUACCUCAGGGAUAACAGCAUAAUUAUUUUAAUAGAUUGUGACCUCGAUGUUGGACUAAGGGCUUUAUUAAAUAGCCUUUAAUAAAGAUAGUUCUGUUCGAACUGAAAACCUUACAU